GGAGACUCAGGGGGCAAAGCGAGGAUUUGAGAUUGCGGUGACAAAUCAGAUUGUGAGGGCUGUUAGAAGGUAUUUUACAUUAUUUAUAUGGUGAUUAGCUAAAAAUUUUAGUAGCUCCUAUAAAAUUUGAGGAGGGUUAGACUAUCUUCAAUAGACUCCAUAUCCCAUUCUCUAUCUCACUCCUUAUUUCAAACUUCAAUCCUGCAAACAGUGCAAUUUACAGUGUAAAAUAGUACUUUGCACGGCCGUUUACACAGCCUGCUAGAGAUGGCCUUAGGUGGGACAUUGCCCCCUCCGCCCCAUACUAGAAUCACCCUGAGGAGACCGAAAAGAAACUGCAGUAUUGACUUAUUGUGUAAUUCUUAACCCUUUGGAAAAUUGCUCGACUCAUCAGCACAACUCUAUUAAUUACACUAAGGCCGGGUUCAUUUAGGACAAUGUCAGAAGCACCACGGGCUGCGUCAGUAGAGUCUGCUAUUGCAAUACCAAUAUCCGCCUUUUUUAAAGUUGGGGCAUCAUUUACACCAUCCCAAGUCAUGCCACAUAAAUGUUUUUCAUACAUGUGUUCUAUCAAGCAUUAACAAAAUAUGAAUUAGACAUAAGUACUGCCUAUAUAUGUUGAAGAACUGUUGAG
rnacentral:lncRNA from 1 species